AUGACUGAGCACUGUUAUAACUCUGGGUGCUCCCCAUUUGAGUGUCCUGGCUGCUUGUUCCACCCUGUAGACAGUGACCUGGAGGGGUGCAGAGAAAUGGGAGAAGAGGAAGGACACCUUCUGAGGAGCAUCAUUUCAGAUCCAUGGUCAUAUUCAGGCACACAUAUCAUCCCUCCACUGCCCAGAGACCGUGCCAGAUGCCACCAGCUCCACCAAAGUGAAGGAGAGCCACUGGACUGCAGUGAACUUCCCCACAGCAGCAGGUGAGGAUGGAGGAACAACACUGUUGAAAAGGCCUGUGGACAUCCUGAGACUGGCAUGUCUGCAAAUUGGAGCAAGGAGACCUCCAAGUUGGAAUGGUUUCAUACAGGGAAUGGUUUGAAGUUCCUAUACCAGAAGUUUGGCAGAG
rnacentral:lncRNA from 1 species